rnacentral:rRNA from 1 species
UACGUAGGGGGCGAGCGUUGUCCGGAAUUAUUGGGCGUAAAGAGCGUGUAGGCGGUUCGGUAAGUCUGCUGUGAAAUCCUGGGGCUCAACCCCGGGUCGGCGGUGCGAACGGGGGGGCUGGAGCGGAUCAGAGGCGGGCGGAAUUCUCGGUGUAGCGGUGAAAUUCGUAGAGAUUCGCAAGAACACCGGUGGCGAAGGCGGCCAACUGGCUCGACACUGACGCUGAGGCGCGAAAGCGUGGGGAGCAAACAGG